rnacentral:rRNA from 1 species
UCCGAGUUGUAAUUUGUAGAGGAUGUUUUGGGUACCGCCCCGGUUUAAAUUUCUUGGAACAGAAUGUCAGAGAGGGUGAGAAUCCCGUCUUGGACCGGCGGUAGGGCCUGUGUAAAACUCCUUCGACGAGUCGAGUUGUUUGGGAAUGCAGCUCAAAAUGGGUGGUAAAUUUCAUCUAAAGCUAAAUAUUGGCCAGAGACCGAUAGCGCACAAGUAGAGUGAUCGAAAGAUGAAAAGAACUUUGAAAAGAGAGUUAAACAGUAUGUGAAAUUGUUGAAAGGGAAGCGCUUGCAACCAGACUUGAGCGCGACGGUUCCCCUAGCCUUUUGGCUAGGUUACUCCGUCGUGUCCAGGCCAACAUCGGUUCUGAGGGUCGGUCAAAGGCCCCGGGAAUGUACCUACCCACGGGUAGACUUAUAGACCGGGGUGUCAUGCGGCCUCUCGGGACCGAGGAACGCGCUUCGGCUCGGAUGUUGGCGUAAUGGUUGUCAGCGACCCGUCUUGAAACACGGACCAAGGAGUCUAACAUCUAUGCGAGUGUUUGGGUGUCAAACCCGGAACGCGGAAUGAAAGUGAACGGAGGUAGGAAGCUUCGGCUGCACUAUCGACCGAUCCUGAAGUUUACGGAUGGAUUUGAGUAAGAGCAUAGCUGUUGGGACCCGAAAGAUGGUGAACUAUGCCUGAAUAGGGUGAAGCCAGAGGAAACUCUGGUGGAGGCUCGCAGCGGUUCUGACGUGCAAAUCGAUCGUCAAAUUUGGGUAUAGGG